UGUUGAAGAAAGAGGGGGCAUCAAUUUCAAAACUCUUUUUUAUUUCUUAACUGUCACUGUCAACGGGUCCUGUUGCUAAAGGGUGGAAUAGCCUAGGCCUGUGACUAGUUAUGUGCAACAUUUUUUUUUCAGUUUUAGUAUUUCCCUCCCUCUUGUUUACAUAGCGAUGUAGUGUAAAUGGUUUGUAAAGGGAAGGGCUAGUGAUGAUGACACCCGUGAACGACUUCGGCUCGUAGUUCUCCAUUCACAAUCAUUUCAGCUGGGCCGUUGCUUCAAAAGUUGCCUGCGCUGAGCAAGGGGUGGGUGUGACCAACUGCGCAAGGGGAAAGCCACGGUCCACACUCACACACACCGCCCGUCAUGCUAUGAAUGACUCAAGUACAGGGCCAGUCAACGAAAAAGAAACCAAGUUUUCAAGAAAAAAAUGACGAGGAUAAGAGAAACGAGAGCCGAAAACCGUAGUGUUUCUCACUGCAGUCUGCACUACGUUUUCCAUUAUGAACAAAAGUUGACAAGACCACUGCAGAAAGUUUAACCAGCGCUUUUUUGCAGCCAGAUUGAACGUUGGGAGCGUCUCUGCACUGGUUGCUGCAACUGGUGAUGGCUGUCAGGCGGUCAGACGAGGCGACUGGUUCAGAGCUGUCGGUCAUGGCAGAAGGUCAACGCGUCCUUCACGGCGGCCGACAGCGAUCAUGACCAGGACCCCUGGACCCUGACCUCUGAGCCCUGAGGAGGGCGAUCAGCCUCAGGUCAGACUAGAUGCCUGGAACACCCAGUAUUUGGGUUUAGCUUUCAUGACGUGUUUAUUUUCUAACGCAGUUUUCACUUCACAUUUUUUCCCCCUGUCCUUGACUGAUCGUUAGAAAUAAAUACACAAAAAUUGUAAUGGUGUUUAAAAUAUGAUAUAUAGAAAGAAAAAUGUCUGCACACUUAAAUCCUCUGUGAAAACAAAGAGGAUUUAAGUGUGCAGACAUUUUUCUUUCUACUUUGCACAGUUUGGUUUAUGUUUGGCACCUUUCAAUCGAGAGUGUGGUGUGAUUUGGUUGAAUAUACAAUAUGAUUUAUGAAAUACUGUAUAUGAUACAAGAUAUAAUUCCCAUGGAAUGACAAACUUGUAAGUGUAAUUUAUGGAAAUGAAAAUAAAUGAAACUUAGAACUUAA